rnacentral:rRNA from 1 species
UACAGAGGUCUCGAGCGUUUUUCGGAUUCAUUGGGCGUAAAGGGUGCGUAGGUGGUUGCGUAAGUCUGGUGUGAAAUCUCGGGGCUCAACCCCGAAAAUGCAUUGGAUACUGCGCGACUCGAGGACUGUAGAGGAGAGAGGAAUUCACGGUGUAGCAGUGAAAUGCGUAGAGAUCGUGAGGAAGACCAGUUGCGAAGGCGUCUCUCUGGGCAGUUCCUGACACUGAGGCACGAAGGCCAGGGGAGCAAACGGG